GGGUAAUAAUUCUCAUGUUCUAAAUUUAUUAAAAGUUCAAACAACAAAUAAAAAAAUUGCAUGUCAUAGAAAAAAUUAAAAAUAAAGAAUAAAUAUGAAAAAAAAAAUUGACCCACUGCUUUUCUUAGAUGACUGACCAGAGAAAAGUUGUCGAGCCCUAGUGUUUGCAAAAAUCAAAUUGAAAUUCGACAAAAAGAGACACAUCAAAGCUUCAUGACUCUCAGUUAUUCAUUUAAGCUUACCUUGAACAGAGAUUGAGGCAAUAUGGCAAUGAUGGCGGAGCAGGUGGACAAAGGCUGAGAAGUUGUUUCCGAUGAUGAAUGACUGAGUAUUGAUGAAUGACUGAGUAUUGAAUGACUGAGUGUUGCUAUGGCUACGGGUGAUGACAGCAGUAGAUUUGUUACCGGUGACUGGCCCAAAAUGAUCAAUCAC
rnacentral:lncRNA from 1 species